GUAGUCUGUGAUGACGAAGUUCUCAGUUGUCCUGAAUUCUUGUUGGAAUAUGAGGGCAACUUAAGUCACUACCUCUUCUGAGACAC
rnacentral:snoRNA from 1 species